rnacentral:tRNA from 2 species
GGAGGGGUCGCAUAGCGGUUUAGUGCACCGGUCUUGAAAACCGGAGUACCGCAAGGUACCGUGAGUUCGAAUCUCACCCCCUCCGCCA